GAGAAGUACGGGCAGGCAUCCGGGGGAAUACGGAGGGGGCAAGCGGUGUUCGGAUGGAGUGGGCGGAAAGGGCGUGUAGGCGGCCAAACAGGUCCACUGUGAAAGCUCGAGGCUCAACCUCGAGAGGUCGGUGGAAACCGUCUGGCUAGAGUCCGGAAGAGGAGAGUGGAAUUCCCGGUGUAGCGGUGAAAUGCGCAGAUAUCGGGAAGAACACCCGUGGCGAAGGCGGCUCUCUGGGACGGUACUGACGCUGAGACGCGAAAGCGUGGGGAGCGAACAGGAUUAGAUACCCCAGUAGUC
rnacentral:rRNA from 1 species